GAGUCAGCAGAGCGUUGACAGACACCGGCGAUCGCAUGGCACGUUUCCGUUUUUGACCACGGAUGUACUGGCAGGGAUGUAGAAACGUAAAGGAAAGGCCGGUUUUCACCGGCCUUUUUGCUU
rnacentral:sRNA from 1 species